rnacentral:rRNA from 1 species
CCUACGGGUGGCUGCAGUGGGGAAUAUUGCACAAUGGGGGAAACCCUGAUGCAGCGACGCCGCGUGAGUGAAGAAGGAAUUCGUUACGGAAAGCUUUAUCAGCAGGGAAGAAACACUGACCUUACGGUCAGCAGACUGUACCUGAGUAAGAAGCCGCGGCUAACUACGUGCAAGCAGCCGCGGUAAUACGUAGGGGGCAAGCGUUAUCCGGAUUUAUUGGGUUUAAAGGGUGCGCAGGCGGAAGAUCAAGUAAGCGGUAAAAUUGAGAGGUUCAACCUCUGCGAGCCGUUGAAACUGGUGGUCUUGAGUGAGCGAGAAGUAUGCGGAAUGCGUGGUGUAGCGGUGAAAUGCAUAGAUAUCACGCAGAACUCCGAUUGCGAAGGCAGCAUACCGGAGCGCAACUGACGCUCAUGCACGAAAGUGUGGGUAUCGAACAGGAUUAGAUACCCCUGUAGUC